GACGAACGCUGGCGGCGUGCUUAACACAUGCAAGUCGAACGGUGAAGCGCCUUCCUUUUUGGUGGGUGUGGAUGAGUGGCGAACGGGUGAGUAACACGUGAGUAACCUGCCCCCUUCUUCUGGAUAACCGCAUGAAAGUGUGGCUAAUACGGGAUAUUCUGGGUCUGUCGCAUGAUGGGUCUGGGAAAGAUAUUGUUUCGGUGGGGGAUGGGCUCGCGGCCUAUCAGCUUGUUGGUGGGGUGAUGGCCUACCAAGGCGGUGACGGGUAGCCGGCCUGAGAGGGUGGACGGUCACACUGGGACUGGGACACGGCCCAGACUCCUACGGGAGGCAGCAGUGGGGAAUAGUGCACAAUGGGCGCAAGCCUGAUGCAGCGACGCCGCGUGAGGGAUGGAGGCCUUCGGGUUGUGAACCUCUUUCGCCAGUGAAGCAGGCCUGCCUCGUUUGUGGGUGGGUUGACGGUAGCUGGAUAAGAAGCGCCGGCUAACUACGU
rnacentral:rRNA from 1 species